CAUAUCCAGUUGCAAGCUACGGGAAAAAAACAGGUAGUCUCUUACUUUGCUGAUGGAAAUGUAGACUGGAACAAUCUAAGGAAGGAAAUUUAGCAAUAUUUAUUAAAAUUCCAAAUGCUUAUGCCCCUUGACCCAGCAGCCCCAUUGUGGGAAUUUAUCCUGCAGCAUAGCUUGAACAAAUUCAAAAUAAUAUAUUUUCAAGGUUGUUAAUUGCAGCAUUGUUUGUAAUAGCAUAUAAUAUUAGAAAUAAUUCAUGUCCAUCCAUCUAUAGAGUGAAAUUUUGUGUAGUUGUAUAUAUUAAAAAAAAAAGGAAUGAAGACAUUCUCUAUAUGCAGAUAUAGAAAGAUCUCCAACUUGUACUGGUAAGUGAAAGGAAAAUGCAGAAAAAUGUUUGUACAAAGGAGGGUCACAGAAAUAUUCAUAUUUGAUUAUAUUUGCAUAUAAAAACUCUGGAAGAACACACAACCUAACAAUGGCAGUCACCUUUGAUAGUGGUAGGUAGAAACUAGACAGAGGGACAGGGAUAGAAGCAAGAUUCUUUAUCAAAUACAUUUUUUUGUUUCCUUUUUAAAUCAUUUGUGUUUUCUACUUUUGAAAAAUAAAAAUUUUUAAAAACAUUGCAAAAUACCUUAAAUUGUCCAUAAAGUACAGAACACAAGGUUUCAUACAUAUGAUCCUAUUCCAUAAUGUUUAUGCAGACUAAGGUUUGAGAACAACUUGACUAAAAUAAGGAACAAAGUUUAAGUUGCUAUAGAGGUGUUAAGUAUUGAAAUCAUUCUCCUUUAACAUGCCUGCCAAACUCCUGGCUGGGAGUGGGUGAGAAUUCUAAAAAGCACCUGCUUGCCUGGAGGGAUUAGACUAAUCUAAUACUAAGCCUCCAGAACAAACCUGUUUGUUGUGAGAAUUAAAGGAAAUGAAGGAGUUCCCAUUUCAAUGCAGGUUGAAGUUUAUGGCUAAGUUAAAUAUGCAGAUGAUGGGACUCCAUGAUAUGGUGGUGAUAUUUUCUAAACUGUGCCAGGCCAGGGUACAUGAUCUGAAAAGUGCAGCUGUACCCAUUGAGACACUAGGAGGUCCUGUCUAACAUCUGUGCUGUCCUAGGGAAUUCUAGGAGUGACGGUUAACAUCAUGUAUGGUUUUCAGAGUGAGGGAUGUGGAGGUGACCAAAGUCAGAAAUCUUGAAUUACACUACAUUGGUAAUGCCUUUUAUUUAUCUCCCAAGAUGCAGUACAACACAAAUAACUCAUUGGGCCUACAAAAAAAGAAAAAGAAACUGAGAAGAAAGAAACAUUGAGAAUGCAUUCCAAUCCACUUAUCACAUCAUUGAAGGGAAAGUGCACUUUGGAGGACAGGAACAUUUUUACAUGGAAACUCAAAAUGAAAGUGAAGUGGCAAAGGCAGAGGAUUAAAACAUGGACCUAUAUGUGUCAUGCCAGGAUGCAGCAUUUACACAGAGUAAGUGAAGCAAGGUGAAGAGCACUCCUUGUUAAAAUCAGUGGCAUACUAGAAGAGACUCAGAAAGGAGAACAAUGGCCAGCAGGCAUUCAAACUAGUCAGCUGCUAUGGAAAAUGGCAAGAGGACUGUGAGAUAUCUCAUGACUGAAUUCUAACUAUAAGGUGGCCAGCCAUGAAUUAAAGAUACCAGUGUCUUCCAUAUACCUUGGAAAGAUGAAUACCAUGACAGUGCCCAGCAGAAUUCCCAUGGCAGCCUCUACUAGUGCAGAUGCCAAUGGAAAAGCUGUGCAGUUCUAUUGGACAGCCCUGCUCUGGACAAUCCUACUGCAUCUUGACCUGAGAAAAAAAGAUAAGAGUCAGCCUCGCUGGCAGUUAGUUAGUAGCUGUAGGAAGCCAGGAAAGGAGAUCCACACUUUGGUUGCUUAAAAAAAGAGAAGAGAAGAGGGGAGAAGGGAGGGGAAGGGAGAAAAAAUAGCAAAGGAAGCAAUGUCUCCAUUGGUUUGGGCUGCUAUAACCAAGUACCAGAGGAGACUGGGUAAGCUUAAACAACAGACAUUUAUUUUGCACAGUUCUAGAGGGCUGAAAACCCCAAGAUCAAGGUGCCAGCAGAUCUUCUGUCAGGUGAAGGCUGCCUCCUGGUUCAUGGAAAGCUGUCUUCAUGCUGUCUUCACAUGGUGGAAGGGGUAAGGGAGCACUCUGGGUUCUCUUUUAUAAAAAAGCACAAAUCCCAUUUAUGUGGGCUCCACCCUCAUGGACUAUUGAGGGCCCCACCUUCCAAUACUAUUACCU